rnacentral:rRNA from 1 species
AGAGUUUGAUCCUGGCUCAGAACGAACGCUGGCGGCAGGCCUAACACAUGCAAGUCGAGCGCCCGCAAGGGAGCGGCAGACGGGUGAGUAACGCGUGGGAACGUGCCCUUUGGUUCGGAAUAUUCCCGGGAAACUGGGAGCAAAACCGGAUAAGCCCUUCGGGGGAAAGUUUACGCCAAAGGAUCGGCCCGCGUUAGAUUAGGUAGUUGGUGGGGUAACGGCCUACCAAGCCUACGAUCUAUAGCUGAUCUGAGAGGACGAUCAGCCACACUGGGACUGAGACACGGCCCAGACUCCUACGGGAGGCAGCAGUGGGGAAUCUUGGACAAUGGGCGCAAGCCUGAUCCAGCCAUGCCGCGUGGAUGACUGAAGGCCCUAGGGUUGUAAAGUCCUUUCGACGGGGACGAUAAUGACGGUACCCGUAGAAGAAGCCCCGGCUAACUUCGUGCCAGCAGCCGCGGUAAUACGAAGGGGGCUAGCGUUGUUCGGAUUUACUGGGCGUAAAGGGCGCGUAGGCGGAUUUUUAAGUCGGGGGUGAAAUCCCGGAGCUCAACUCCGGAACUGCCUUCGAUACUGAAAGUCUGGAGCACGGUAGAGGUGAGUGGAAUUCCGAGUGUAGCGGUGAAAUGCGUAGA